UAUGUUAAGAGAAUAUUGUAUAAUAUGAUCAGCUAUAUGAAAUGUAUCUUUUUAUCUUACUGUUGGGGACAUGUCUGGGUGACUUUUCACCCAGUAACUUGUUUGCAGCUACUAACCGCUUCCUGUCUUCAGAGAACAGAGAAGUGAAGACUCAGCUCUAUUAGAAGAACAUGCAAAUGUAGUGAAGGGAAAAAACCCGCGGCUCCAAAUGAUGUUGUUACCUUUGUACACACACACACACACACACACACACACGCACACAAAACAUCUUGUAUAAAUAAAGGACGGGGACAGUUGUGGGGCGCAGAUCCUGUGUACAUGACUGCCCCUCGCGAGGAAAAACUUCUGCAGUGUUUGUGUGUUUUCUAAACUCAGGAGUCUUGGCUAAAGAAAGAACGGCAGGGUGAUUUAAAGAAAUCCCCUGUCAUUUAAAUUGGUCCUUCGAACCUAGAGAUGGAAACAGCAGACUCAUUUCUGUGACUCCAAUAAGGUCUGAUUUCUGCAUCCUGACGCCGUGGGUAAACCAGCACCGAAGUCUGUCGACAGCCCUCUCCAGGUAGAGGUGAGAGUCCUGGAACGUUGAAUUCGGGUCCAGGCCGGUGAUUUAGUACUGGUCCACGACGUUGGGAUCCAGAUGACCUGAACAACCAGCAAAAGACGACUGAGGGUGAGAAAACACUUUUUGGUUUUAAACCGCCGGAAGGGUUUAGAAGAAUGCGCAAAAUAGGUUAGAAGUAGCCGGAAUUACUUCAGGAAAUGCGCAAAGGUUGGAAGUAGCCGGAAUUACUUCAAAGAAGCACGUGAAAUAGGGUUUACGUUCGCCACAAGGAACUGUGUUUAGAGUGGUUUUAGAAGUGACCGUGAAUUACUUCGUGACAAAUUAGCGCGCAAAUGUCUAUCUGUGUGUACGUAUAUGUGUUUUGGAAGUAAGUUGAUUUUGCAGCACAAUAAGUUGCUGAACUACUUCCAUUGUUUUUUGUUUUUUAUUGUUUUCUUUGCUGAGGCUCACGUACUGGUGACAAAGGAGAACGGUUGAGUUUUAUCUCGUAAAACUGAUACCGCUUCAUUUUUUAGAAAUGAAGUAGAAGGCCGUACCAGUAAACCACUCUGAAGUCUAGCGUGCCAGUGACGGCCCAGCAAAAUCUUUGAGAAUGGAGAAUAAACAAGCAAAAUUAACACCUGAUGAGAAAUGUUUAGAAAAACAACAAACCAGAGUAGGACUAAUCCAAAAGAAAGACAGAGGAAUGCUUAGUGGAACAGCAAGAGGUAGAGGUAGACCUAUACACACACCAAAAAGUGGCUUUAGCACUGCAUGCUGGAGGUGUGGAAAAGAGGGACAUUUUGUACGUGACUGUAAGAAACUAAGAAGCAGUUCAGACUAGGAAGGAAAUAAUAAUCCCUCAUCAAGUGACAAAUUAGAGAUCAAAGUAGAAGUUUAAAAUGAGUUGGAUACAGACCCAAUUGAAUAUAUAUAUAAAUACUCUUAGGAAUAAAGUGGAAUAAAGAAAAGGUUAAAUCGAAUUAGAGCUUAUCUCUACUAUAUUCAAACUAAUAAUAGGAAGCAUAGCAACCUGUAAAUUGGUAUUACCAAAUGAUACAAAAUUGGGUAGACAACCAUACCCAGAAUGAAUAGAAUGAAUGAAAGCAGAUAAUUCACA